rnacentral:rRNA from 1 species
AUUGAACGCUGGCGGCAGGCUUAACACAUGCAAGUCGAGCGGGGAUAAGGUGCUUGCACCUUAUCUUAGCGGCGGACGGGUGAGUAAUGCUUAGGAAUCUGCCUAUUAGUGGGGGACAACAUUCCGAAAGGAAUGCUAAUACCGCAUACGCCCUACGGGGGAAAGCAGGGGAUCUUCGGACCUUGCGCUAAUAGAUGAGCCUAAGUCGGAUUAGCUAGUUGGUGGGGUAAAGGCCUACCAAGGCGACGAUCUGUAGCGGGUCUGAGAGGAUGAUCCGCCACACUGGGACUGAGACACGGCCCAGACUCCUACGGGAGGCAGCAGUGGGGAAUAUUGGACAAUGGGGGGAACCCUGAUCCAGCCAUGCCGCGUGCGUGAAGAAGGCCUUUUGGUUGUAAAGCACUUUAAGCGAGGAGGAGGCGCUCUAGGAUAAUACCCUAGAUGCGUGGACGUUACUCGCAGAAUAAGCACCGGCUAACUCUGUGCCAGCAGCCGCGGUAACAC